rnacentral:rRNA from 1 species
GACGAACGCUGGCGGCGUGCUUAACACAUGCAAGUCGAACGAAGAGCGACGGAAGCUUGCUUCUAUCAAUCUUAGUGGCGAACGGGUGAGUAACGCGUAAUCAACCUGCCCUUCAGAGGGGGACAACAGUUGGAAACGACUGCUAAUACCGCAUACGAUCUAACCUCGGCAUCGAGGAUAGAUGAAAGGUGGCCUCUACAUGUAAGCUAUCACUGAAGGAGGGGAUUGCGUCUGAUUAGCUAGUUGGAGGGGUAACGGCCCACCAAGGCGAUGAUCAGUAGCCGGUCUAAGAGGAUGAACGGCCACAUUGGGACUGAGACACGGCCCAGACUCCUACGGGAGGCAGCAGUGGGGAAUCUUCCGCAAUGGACGAAAGUCUGACGGAGCAACGCCGCGUGAGUGAUGACGGCCUUCGGGUUGUAAAGCUCUGUUAAUCGGGACGAAAGGCCUUCUUGCGAAUAGUGAGAAGGAUUGACGGUACCGGAAUAGAAAGCCACGGCUAACUACGUG